GACGAACGCUGGCGGCGUGCCUAAUACAUGCAAGUAGAACGCUGAAGGAGGAGCUUGCUCUUCUGGAUGAGUUGCGAACGGGUGAGUAACGCGUAGGUAACCUGCCUGGUAGCGGGGGAUAACUAUUGGAAACGAUAGCUAAUACCGCAUAAGAGUAGAUGUUGCAUGACAUUUACUUAAAAGGUGCAAUUGCAUCACUACCAGAUGGACCUGCGUUGUAUUAGCUAGUUGGUGGGGUAACGGCUUACCAAGGCGACGAUACAUAGCCGACCUGAGAGGGUGAUCGGCCAAACUGGGACUGAGACACGGCCCAGACUCCUACGGGAGGCAGCAGUAGGGAAUCUUCGGCAAUGGACGGAAGUCUGAACGAGCAACGCCGCGUGAGUGAAGAAGGUUUUCGGAUCGUAAAGAUCUGUUGUAAGAGAAGAACGAGUGUGAGAGUGGAAAGUUCACACUGUGACGGUAUCUUACCAGAAAGGGACGGCUAACUACGUG
rnacentral:rRNA from 1 species